rnacentral:rRNA from 1 species
GACGAACCGAGCGACCGUUGUUCGGAAUCACUGGGCUUAAAGGGCGCGUAGGCGGGUGCUCAAGUCCGUGGUGAAAUCCUCCGGCUCAACCGGAGAACUGCCUCGGAUACUGGGUGCCUCGAGGGUGGUAGGGGUAUGCGGAACUAUCGGUGGAGCGGUGAAAUGCGUUGAUAUCGAUAGGAACGCCGGUGGCGAAGGCGGCAUACUGGACCACCUCUGACGCUGAGGCGCGAAAGCCAGGGGAGCAAACGGG